UUCCCUUUGCACUUCUGCCAUGAUUGUAAGUUUCCUGAGGCUCCUGAACCAUGUUUCCUGUACAGCAUGCAGAACUUAUUCCUAAUCCUCUAGCAAGUUUCACCUGAUGAAUUUGAGGCCUUCUGAAGCACAGGUAAGUAGUUCAUCUUAGCUGCUAUAUGUGCAUCAUCAAGGGUGAGGUCCAGAUGUUUUUAGAGAUUUAUGAUCUGCCUAAAUCAUCCUUUCCC
rnacentral:lncRNA from 1 species